UCCCUCUCAGGGUCACAUCUGGAGAGUUCCCAGUACUCUACCCAUCUCGACUACAAGAGGGAGAGUCAGGCAGAGGCACAUCCAUUCCAGUCCUAGCUUGGGCAGUGGCUAGCGAGUGGAAGGCAAUCUGCCACAAGU
rfam:Ornithorhynchus anatinus chromosome 2, whole genome shotgun sequence.